rfam:Gossypium hirsutum cultivar TM-1 chromosome 11, whole genome shotgun sequence
UGUUAAAAUUUUCAUCCAUUUUACUGUUAAAAACUAGAGUAGUUGAUGGAAUAACCUGAGUGUGACAUAUGGCGUGUCACGUGUACCUUAUGGUGACAUAUAGGGACCAGUUUUUAACAAUAGAAAUGAGUAAUUUUUAAUA